ensembl:lncRNA
GUUUAUCUGGAAUGGCUAUGUGCAAGUCAGCCUUAUGCUCUAUUCCCUGAAAAUUAUAAAACUACACAAUUGGAUAAUAAAGUUUGUCAGUCCACUAGAGGCUGUCCCUGAGUGUCCUUUUCAGAGUGCAGUUCUCCGAGCCUUACAACUGGGGCCCAACGUGGGGCUCGAAGCAGCAGACUGAUUUUGAAAAGGGCCGCACUCCUGCAGAAGCGAGGCUCCUUUGGUUGGAAUUACAAGUAUAUUUGGUGAUUCAAUCCCUGCCCUGACAAACGUUCAGCUGAAAUAUGAGGCCAACUGCUUUGAUGUGGCUGUCAACAGAUGUUCAAACAGGAAUCCUCAGCUUUCUGAUGAAAGCACUGGAAACAUUUAAGUCAAAAUUUCAAUUUUGAUACAAAACAUGGAUGCAG